rnacentral:rRNA from 1 species
CAGCAGCCACGGGAAUACGGAGGGAGCUAGCGUUGUUCGGAAUUACUGGGCGUAAAGCGCGCGUAGGCGGUUACUCAAGUCAGAGGUGAAAGCCCGGGGCUCAACCCCGGAACUGCCUUUGAAACUAGGUGACUAGAAUCUUGGAGAGGUUAGUGGAAUUCCGAGUGUAGAGGUGAAAUUCGUAGAUAUUCGGAAGAACACCAGUGGCGAAGGCGACUGACUGGACAAGUAUUGACGCUGAGGUGCGAAAGCGUGGGGAGCAAACAGGAUUAGAGACCCCGGUAGUCCCUGUCUCUUAUAC